GAUUCUAGGUUCGGGGUCCGCAUACGGGUGGGGAAAGUGUUAGGCACCCACCUCGUCCCUCAACGAGAGUAAACAAAUUUAACGAUGUGCUCUUCAUAACUUAAUAUUGACAAUUUGGGGUUGGAGUUAUAAUGUUGGUCCCUAUUAGAAGGAACGUUUGAUAUUCUACUAUUUUGGGUUUUCCAAGAACAUGGGUAUAUGGGGUGACCCUUUAGUGGAUUGAUGUUGUGUUUGUAAAAUUUUGUUCAUAUAGUUGUAUAAUAUAAUUUUUUAUUGAGAUAUUUUCAGGAAAGAUUUUUUCUUAAUAAUAUAAAUAUGAGUGCCUUGAGGAGAACUCUCCAUCUGGCCUCAGUAUAAAAUUCUGGAUUCUUUGGAAAGACUCUCCCACAUACCCAUGUUUAAAACAUAUAGAGAGUUUCGUAAUAAAAGUAUCAUGAUUAAAAAAGGAAAGAAUCUCUCCCGCUCUGAAAUAUUUUAUUAGAAUUUUUGUUGAGAAUUCAGAAAAGGACUCUCUCCCAAUCUCUUGAUAUAUUUUGUUAAAGUUCAAGCUGAGAAGUCAGGUAAGAACUCUCUCCCGAUC
rnacentral:misc_RNA from 1 species